ACUCAAACCAUUAAACUAUGUCAGGAUUAGCUUUGUCUGAAGAAUCUAAAGAGAGAAUCGUUAAGAUCUUGGAUACUACUACAACCGUUGUUCACUAUGGAUGGAUUCCAUUUGUUCUUUACGUUGGAUGGAUCUCUACCCCAAACAGACCAUCUUUAAUCAACCUUUUAUCUCCUCUACCAUCUGCUUAAGUAUGAGGAACACAAGUGUUAAUUGUAUAUAGGAAUGGAUCCAGUGAAUAUGAGUCUUUUAUUUCGAUACUUGCCGUUAUCCAAUCAAUAUUACCACGUAGACGAAUCCUGCUCUUUCUUAGGCUCAGAGAAUCCUUAUUUUUCCCAUGUCGUAGAGAGACUUGCCUCAAGGCAUCUCUUUCAACCUCUUGCUUCAAAUUUCUACUCCGACCCUCGCUAACACCAGAGGAUCUGAAAAGUUUCCUCUUC
rnacentral:misc_RNA from 1 species